CGGGUCGGCCAGACGGUCGCGUCGCGUGCCGCGAGGUGCGCGCCGAGGAACGUCCGGGCUCCGCAGAGCAGGGUGGUGGGUAACACCCACCCGGAGUGAUCCGCGAGAAAGUGCAACAGAGAGUAGACCGCCCAGGUGCCUUCGGGUGCCGGGGUAAGGGUGAAACGGUGGUGUAAGAGACCACCAGGGGCCCGAGUGAUCGGGCUCGCUGGGUAAACCUCGCCCGGAGCAAGGUCAGACAGACACCGAUGAGGCUGCUCGCCGAGGUGUCGGGUAGACCGCUGGAGGGCUGCGGCGACGUAGUCCCGAGAGAGAUGGCCGUCCGAUCAGGCCGCGCUGCGAAGCGCGGUGCCGAUCGACAGAACCCGGCGUAUCGGCCGGCCCGUUCG
rnacentral:RNase_P_RNA from 1 species